rnacentral:lncRNA from 1 species
GAAAUAUAUUAUUAAAAAUCUGAGUUAUCUCCCAUAUUUGAGUAUCUUCUAUAUAAUUCAGCACUCCAUCAACAUACUGAUGAUAACGUAGAAUGAGUACUUGUAUGAGUCUUUAGUGUUUUGUAUGGGUCUGAAAGAAUAAAUAUGUGAAUGUUGUCGUGUUCUUGUAUCGGACUGUCUGAGUAGGUCUGUCGGGUAUAUGGGCGUUUUUCAAUAAAAACGUAUUUUCUUGUCCCAGCCACUUUAAAAAAAAUGUGUUUGAUCUUUGCAAGUAAUUUUUUGUGUAGUCAGUACAUUGAAUUAGAUUUAAUAUUUUUAAGGAAAGAAACAGUUAAUUUUUAGAGGUAUUGAUAAGAUAUUGACUCUUGAAUGGUCCAAAACAAC